AACCAUUAGGAGACUGUGGUUUGCCAGGGCAGGAGGUGGAAGGGAGCCCCAUUUACAGUGGUAACUUCCUCUCCCUUUCCAUCCUGGCAGGCUUCAGAGAACUUUACCAG
rnacentral:miRNA from 1 species